GCUCAUUAUCGUCAGUAGCUCAUUAUUAUAUUGGAACGAUACAGAAAAGAUUAGCAUGGCCCCUGCGCAAGGAUGACACGCCGUUUAUAGUGAUUCAAUAAAAAUAU